GCGGCAGGCUUAACACAUGCAAGUCGAACGCCCGAGCAAUCGGGAGUGGCAGACGGGUGAGUAACACGUGGGAACAUACCCUCAGGUUCGGAACAACGCCGGGAAACUGGCGCUAAUACCGGAUACGCCCUGUGAAGGGGAAAGGCUUGCUGCCUGAGGAGUGGCCCGCGUUCGAUUAGCUAGAUGGCGGGGUAACGGCCCACCAUGGCGACGAUCGAUAGCUGGUCUGAGAGGAUGGCCAGCCACAUUGGGACUGAGACACGGCCCAAACUCCUACGGGAGGCAGCAGUGGGGAAUAUUGGACAAUGGGCGCAAGCCUGAUCCAGCCAUGCCGCGUGAGUGAUGAAGGCCUUAGGGUUGUAAAGCUCUUUCGCACGCGACGAUAAUGACGGUAGCGUGAGAAGAAGCCCCGGCUAACUUCGUGCCAGCAGCCGCGGUAAUACGAAGGGGGCUAGCGUUGUUCGGAAUCACUGGGCGUAAAGGGCGCGUAGGCGGUCUUUUAAGUCGGGGGUGAAAGCCUGUGGCUCAACCACAGAAUUGCCUUCGAUACUGGGAGACUUGAGUUCGGAAGAGGUUGGUGGAAC
rnacentral:rRNA from 1 species